UUAGUAACGGCGAGCGAACCAGGAAGAGCCCACCAUGAGAUUCGGUCACCUUCGGCGUCCGAACUGUAGUCUGGAGAAGCAUCCUUAAUGGCAAACUAGGUCCAAUUCUGCUGGAAGGGGUGCCAUAGAGGAUGCGAGCCCCAUUGUGCUUGGAGGUUCACGAGACGCUAUGGGUGAGUCGAGUUGUUUGGGAAUGCAGUCCUAAUCGGGCUAUAAAUUCUAUUCAAUGCUAAAUACUGGUGAGAAACAGGUAACAAACAAGUAUUGCAAGGGACAGAUGAAAAGGAAUUUAAAAAGAGAGUCAAAGAGUGCUUGAAAUUAUCCAGAGGGAAGCGGAUAGUGGCCGACGAUGUGUCUCGGUCAGAUGUGGAGCAGUGUAAGCUAGUUUACCAAUCAACUUAGGAUAAUGACCAACGCAGAUUGUGAUGGUCUCCCAAGCCUGGGUUGUCNAAAUGCUCAUGGAGACAUCAUCUUCAUGAUUGUGGUUGGUAGCACGCGCUGAUCCAGCAUACCUCGGCACUUGCAUGCUUCGGGCGUCAGCCUGUGGGCUCCNUAUUUGGCCUGUCUUCAAACANGAACCAAGGAGUUUGACAUGUGUGCUAGUUAAUGGGCGAGUAAACCCGUAAGGUGCAAGGAAGUUAAUUUGUAGGAUCCCCUCGUGGAUUGCACCAGCGAUCAACCUCGAUCUUUUGUGAAGG
rnacentral:rRNA from 1 species